rnacentral:rRNA from 1 species
CCCUUAGACGUUCUGGGCCGCACGCGCGCUACACUGACGGAGCCAGCGAGUAUAAACCUUGGCCGAGAGGUCUGGGAAAUCUUGUGAAACUCCGUCGUGCUGGGGAUAGAGCAUUGUAAUUAUUGCUCUUCAACGAGGAAUUCCUAGUAAGCGCAAGUCAUCAGCUUGCGUUGAUUACGUCCCUGCCCUUUGUACACACCGCCCGUCGCUACUACCGAUUGAAUGGCUUAGUGAGGCUUCCGGAUUGGUUUAGAGAAGGGGGCAACUCCAUCUUGGAACCGAGAAGCUAGUCAAACUUGGUCAUUUAGAGGAAGGUGAAGUCGUAACA